rnacentral:rRNA from 1 species
AUUGAACGCUGGCGGCAGGCCUAACACAUGCAAGUCGAACGAGUGGCGGACGGGCGAGUAAUGUCUGGGAAACUGCCUGAUGGAGGGGGAUAACUACUGGAAACGGUAGCUAAUACCGCAUACCAUCGGAUGUGCCCAGAUGGGAUUAGCUAGUAGGUGGGGUAAAGGCUCACCUAGGCGACGAUCCCUAGCUGGUCUGAGAGGAUGACCAGCCAACCGGGAACGGAGACCCGGUCCAGACGCCUCGGGGGGGCAGCAGUGGGGAAUAUUGCACAAUGGGCGCAAGCCUGAUGCAGCCAUGCCGCGUGUAGGAAGAAGGCCUUCGGGUUGUAAAGUACUUUCAGCGGGGAGGCGUUACCCGCAGAAGAAGCACCGGCUAACUCCGUGCCAGCAGCCGCGGUAAUAC